rnacentral:rRNA from 1 species
GUGCCAGCCGCCGCGGUAACACGUAGGGGGCGAGCGUUGUCCGGAUUUAUUGGGCGUAAAGAGCUCGUAGGCGGCUCGGUAAGUCGGGUGUGAAAACUCGGGGCUCAACCCCGAGACGCCACUCGAUACUGCUGUGGCUAGAGUCCGGUAGGGGAGCGUGGAAUUCCUGGUGUAGCGGUGAAAUGCGCAGAUAUCAGGAGGAACACCGGUGGCGAAGGCGGCGCUCUGGGCCGGAACUGACGCUGAGGAGCGAAAGCGUGGGGAGCAAACAGGAUUAGAAACCCGCGUAGUCC